rnacentral:rRNA from 1 species
GUGGGGAAUAUUGCGCAAUGGGGGAAACCCUGACGCAGCGACGCCGCGUGAGCGAAGAAGGCCUUAGGGUUGUAAAGCUCUGUUUUAAGGGACGAAUGUCGUGGGGAGUAAUAUGCUCUGCGAAUGACGGUACCUUAAGAGGAAGCCCCGGCUAACUACGUGCCAGCAGCCGCGGUAAGACGUAGGGGGCGAGCGUUGUCCGGAAUUACUGGGCGUAAAGAGCACGUAGGCGGGAACUUAAGUCAGGUGUGAAAGACCGGGGCUCAACUCCGGGGUUGCACUUGAAACUGGGUUUCUUGAGGGCAGGAGAGGAAAGCAGAAUUCCUGGUGUAGCGGUGAAAUGCGUAGAAAUCAGGAGGAAUACCAGUGGCGAAGGCGGCUUUCUGGACUGACCCUGACGCUGAGGUGCGAAAGCGUGGGUAGCAAACAGGAUUAGAUACCCUAGUAGUCC